AGAGUGAACGCUGGCGGUAGGCCUAACACAUGCAAGUCGAACGGCAGCACAGUGGUAGCAAUACCAUGGGUGGCGAGUGGCGGACGGGUGAGGAAUACAUCGGAAUCUACCUUUUCGUGGGGGAUAACGUAGGGAAACUUACGCUAAUACCGCAUACGCCCUUUGGGGGAAAGCCGGGGAUCGCAAGACCUGGCGCGGAUAGAUGAGCCGAUGUCGGAUUAGCUAGUUGGUGAGGUAAUGGCUCACCAAGGCGACGAUCCGUAGCUGGUCUGAGAGGAUGAUCAGCCACACUGGAACUGAGACACGGUCCAGACUCCGUACGGGAGCAGCAGGUGGGAAUGUGGACUAAGUGGGCGACAAGGCCUGACUCC
rnacentral:rRNA from 1 species